UUCGGGGUUGAUUCCCGCCGGGACCGGACUGCUAUCAGAGGGGGACUAAGCCAUUUUAGUCGACGUAGCAAUGCGUGGCGAACGGCUCAGUAACACGUAGUCAACAUGCCCAGGGGACGUGGAUAACCUCGGGAAACUGAGGAUAAACCACGAUAGGUCACGAUUUCUGGAAUGGAUCAUGGCCUAAAUCUACAUGGCCCCUGGAUUGGACUGCGGCCGAUCAGGCUGUUGGUGAGGUAAUGGCCCACCAAACCUAUAACCGGUACGGGCUCUGAGAGGAGAAGCCCGGAGAUGGGCACUGAGACAAGGGCCCAGGCCCUAUGGGGCGCAGCAGGCGCGAAACCUCUGCAAUAGGCGAAAGCCUGACAGGGUUACUCUGAGUGAUUUCCGCUAAGGGGAUCUUUUGGCACCUCUAAAAAUGGUGCAGAAUAAGGGGUGGGCAAGUCUGGUGUCAGCCGCCGCGGUAAUACCAGCACCCCGAGUGGUCGGGACGAUUAUUGGGCCUAAAGCAUCCGUAGCCGGUUCUGCAAGUCUUCCGUUAAAUCCAGCCGCUCAACGGAUGGGCCGCGGAGGAUACUACAGGACUAGGAGGCGGGAGAGGCAAGCGGUACUCAGUGGGUAGGGGUAAAAUCCUUUGAUCCAUUGAAGACCACCAGUGGCGAAGGCGGCUUGCCAGAACGCGCUCGACGGUGAGGGAUGAAAGCUGGGGGAGCAAACCGGAUUAGAUACCCGGGUAGUCCCAGCUGUAAACGAUGCAGACUCGGUGAUGGGCUAGCCUUGUGCCAGCCCAGUGCCGCAGGGAAGCCGUUAAGUCUGCCGCAUGGGGCGUACGGUCGCAAGACUGAAACUUAAAGGAAUAAACGGGGGAGCA
rnacentral:rRNA from 1 species